rnacentral:rRNA from 1 species
GAUGAACGCUGGCGGCGUGCCUAAUACAUGCAAGUCGAGCGAGCGGCGGACGGGUGAGUAACACGUGGGAACCUACCGAUAAAACGGGGAUAACUUCGGGAAACGGAAGCAAAUACCGGAAACUUAUAAAUGGAUACGGGCUGGAUUAGCUGGUUGGUAAGUUAACGGCUGACCAAGGCAACGAUGCCUAGCCGACCUGAGAGGGUGAUCGGCCACACUGGAACUGAGACACGGUCCAGACUCCUACGGGAGGCAGCAGUGGGGAAUAUUGGACAAUGGGCGAAAGCCUGAUCCAGCCAUGCCGCGUGUGUGAAGAAGGCCUUCGGAUUGUAAAGCACUUUCAGUGGGGAGGCGUUACCAACAGAAUAAGCACCGGCUAACUCCGUGCCAGCAGCCGCGGUAAUAC